AUGAAGAAAGCGCAAGAGAAGCUUGGGGCAUUGUUGGGACGAAACUCUGGCUUGUCUAAAGAUUUCAACAAUUGUGUUGACUUUACCUUGACACCAGAGGAGUUUGAGGCAGGUUGGUGUGAGCUGAUGAUGAAGUAUGAGGCUAUGACUGACUCCCACUUCAAGAAUCUAUACAAGUACCAAGAAACAUGGGUGCCGUGUUACUUCAAGCAUCAAUUCUUCCCUUUCUUGCAGUCAACUCAACGCAGUGAGGGGUUCAACGCUGUCCUUAAGCGUUAUGUGAACCCACACAAGUCCAUCUUGAACUUCAUGAAGCAAUAUCAGAAAAUCCAAACACACAUACUAAUUCGAGAGGGUGCGAAGGAUUACAGGACAUGA
rnacentral:rRNA from 1 species